rnacentral:tRNA from 1 species
GCCCGGAUGGCGGAAUCGGCAGACGCAACGGACUUAAAAUCCGUUGGGGACUUAAAACCCCGUGGGAGUUCAAUUCUCCCUCCGGGCA